rnacentral:misc_RNA from 1 species
UGAAAAAUUUUAAAAGAACAUAACAUAUAAUGGAUGAGAUAUUAUCAUUUUUAGAAGUGGUACAUAAAUUGUAAGCCCAGUGUAAAAUCAUUAGCAUAAUGCCAAACAAUGAAGUCAUCUGUUAAUGUAAUUAUUUAUUUUGGUGCCAAGUUUCAGAUAAGUGUUUUUAUUAGUGUUUCAUGUAACCUUUGCAAAAGUACAUUUGCUUCAUGAUCCAGAGGCCAGGGCCCAAAGAUAUGAAUGCAGAAAUGUUCUGUCAGUAAGGAGAUUUUUGUGGAAAUCAACUUAUAGUUACUGGUAUUAUUAUUCUACAUUAUUUAUGUACCAUGUUGCUGUAAACAAGAUAUUUUGUAGCAUCAUACCAUGACCUGUAUAUUGGUAUUUACAUUCCGUGCAUGAAAUCCUAAUUGUAUACUGCUGUAAGCUUUGUGUUUCACUCACAGAAUUGUGCGAGCGAGAGAUAGCGUGUUUUUUAUUAGGGAGACAAUCCUAUACUUAUCAUUCAUAUUUAUCUCGAUUUGUCCUGAGUGUGAGAUGUUUAGGUGUGAAUUAUCCCUUAUUAUCAUGUGUUCUUUGUAGAUAUGGAAAAUAUCUCUAAUAUUCACCCCAUUUUUUAUUGUUAUAUAUGCGAGGGUGUACAUGUAUUUAGAUGGAGCUUAUCAUGGUAGUAAUAUGACGAGAUUGAUGUAUAUAAAUUAAAUAACCACUAUUGAGGAGUCAAUGUAUUUCUCUGAACACUGCCAUUAAUAAAGAAACAACUUGUAUAUU